GGGUGAUAUCGUUGAGUUGUGGUGGUGGAGGGUGAGUGGUCGAUUUGUUAGAAGGAGAAGAAGAUGAAGUUGCCGGCGAUGAUGCCUCCCGUCUCCAGAUAAGCCUCCUUCUUCUAUUUCGUUUUUUAGGGUUUUGAAAAAAAAGAGCUUUGCUGCGUUUAUGUUGUUCUUGAUUUUGGGUUUUGAAAAAUAGCUUUUGCUGCAUUUAUGGUUGUUCUUGCUGUUGUGUUUAGAGUUUCUUUUUGAAAAAAUCUCUUACUGUUGAUCUGUUCUUUAGGCUUUUUGAGAAAAAGUUGUUUUUUCUGUUGUUGUGGUUUUGGCUUUUUGAGAAGAAAUCUCUUACUGUGUUGUGUCUCUUUGGAGUUAACAGAGAAAAAAACUUUGAAAAAUUCUUCUAGAUUUUAUAAAACGUGUUUCUGUUAAUUAGUUUUGUGGUUUAUAUACAUGAAUGUUGGUUUCUGUGAGAUAACUUGUUGGAUCCUAUUUCCAGAUUUUGUGGGAUGAUUUAUCUAUGGAUUUAAAGUUGUUUAUUUGGAUACUGCAGUGUGUUUCUGAGCUCUUCCUUUGAUUGAUUCAUUGUGUGAAUUCAACAGGUUUUGGAAAAGUUCUGAAGAGUUGGUUUUGAAUUGGGAACUUCCAAAAGAGCUUUUGGAUGAGUCGGUGAAAUUUGCUUCAAACUGCUGUGUUUACCUCUUAUUUUAAUUUUAUUUUAUAAAAUUAUUUCUGAUGUAACAAAGACUUUUUGGAUUAUGAACUUAGGGAUUGCUUGUAACAUGUACAAACUUAAUUUGGAAUUUCUCUUUUUGGACAAUUAUGUAAUUGUUUGCGAUUAUUAGGAAUUUUUGGAUUAGUUAGGAUAUAUUAACGGUAAGAAAAAUUGGGUUAGACGUGUAACACUUUGGAUCAUUUGCAAAAUUUACAUAAUUUUAAUUUAUUUA